rnacentral:lncRNA from 1 species
AGGUUCCAGAGGAGGCCGAGCACCACCACGGGGAGGUAGCAGCCCCAAUCGGCAUGCCGUACCUUCAGCUCCGCCUGCGAACCUCCUGUACCAGCAGCAACGGUGGCUCCUGCAUUGAGCUCGCUGGGCCCAUGCCCUCCCUGCUGCAGCAGCCGCGCUGCGUCUUAGAGCGAGCAUGUCCCCAUGAUGUCCUUCGCUGAGUUCAGGAGCAUGUUGCUCGAUGGAGCUCUAUGGAGAUGAAGAAGAUAAACGUUGUAGAAAGCUCAGGGUGAGAACUAGGGAACGGGAAGCAGGGAGGGAAUGAGUGGUGGAGAGCGCACGUUGGCCCAUCGUUUC